rnacentral:rRNA from 1 species
UACGGAGGAUGCAAGCGUUAUCCGGAAUGAUUGGGCGUAAAGCGUGCGCAGGCGGUGAUGUAAGACAGAUGUGAAAUCCCCGGGCUCAACCUGGGAACUGCAUUUGUGACUGCAUCGCUGGAGUGCGGCAGAGGGGGAUGGAAUUCCGCGUGUAGCAGUGAAAUGCGUAGAUAUGCGGAGGAACACCGAUGGCGAAGGCAAUCCCCUGGGCCUGCACUGACGCUCAUGCACGAAAGCGUGGGGAGCAAACAGG